AAAGAAAAACUAAUCAAGCGUAAAUGUUUUACUGCUCUGUGCUGUUGUCUUAACAUUCUCCAUAGAGACAUUACCUUAUUCUUCCACCCGCCAGGAAACUGUCCAGCUGCACCUGUGGGCAGGAGCUGAUGGGAUUAAUGUUUACACAUGGAAGCAAAAUGUCACAUACUUACUGCAGGCUUUCCCGUGAUUUUCAAGAGUACUGCCAUCAGCUUACAGAUUCUGUGAAGAGACGCCACAGCAAACCGAACUGUGAAUGGGCGGAGAACAGCAAGGACUCCAGCUUUGACCUGAGGGGAAAAGCACAAUCCUGCCAAGAAUACAAAGAGUGCAGGAUGACAACGACUAUGCUGACCAAUCCCACAUUAAAAGCAUCAGCCUGCUUGCAUGGAUGGAAAAUGGAUUGCCUCUGUGAGAUCAAAACUCCAGUCUCCUGAUGCAAGAGGUAAUUUUGCAUUUGCAUGCUGAGGCUUUAGGGCCUUGUUAGUCCUCAGACAGAUGUUGAAAAGUAGUAAACACCAGUGAAUGCUCCAACACUGAUCACUCACGCCUGUAAAAUAUAUCAAAAUGCUUUUAAUAGAACUGGUGCACUUGACUCAGCUUUAACAGAGUCUUUGUAAUGCUUCCUUUCCUCUAGAUUAAAUCAGUCUUUCUCCACCCCCUGGUAUAAUGAUUGUGGUAUUGAGUGUUUAAAUUGCAGCAUAAUGAGAAGGCUGGAGGUGCAGUAGAUCUCUGCAUUCGUUUUGGUGGAAUUAUUUGGCCCCAGCCUCAAAGACGGGUUCACGUUUACGAGAGACUCUGGCACGGGCCUCUGGGGUCUAGUAUAGGACUGCUGUUGUUUUUUUGUAACAAUGUGGGUGUGAUUCCCCAGAGCAGUUUGACUUCUGAGAGAGGGAAUGAGAAUUCUGUGGAGCAUGCAGACCAGUUAAUGUAAGCCAUGUUAGGGUAAUAGUUAUUUGUUUAUGAGUGUGACUGAGUUGGUAACCUGAUAUUAGUGUGAUUCAAUCCGAGAAAAAUUAGCAUGUUCAUUAAUUCUAAGCAGGCAGGAAAUCCUUUGCAUUACAUCACUAAGAUCUGCUGUCAUCAUCCCUCAAGGCUCACUGGACAUGUGUUUUUAUCAUGCAUUAGAAUGGUGAGACAUCUCUGUGGUUGAGGACUGCUGUGUUAUGGGCUUUUUUAAUGUUUAUGUCUAUGAUGUGUUUCGGAAGAUGGUGUAAGCCUGUAAACUGCAAGUAAUGGCCAAAACAAGAGGCAUCGUAGAGUGUGUCAUACACUCACACUUUCAAACUAAGUGAGUUCACAUGCACUUUAGAAGUUUGGUUUCAGCCAGACUAACCAAUGAAUCAUCAGUUUAUUAAUGUAAAUGCCGUAGUCUGACUAAAAUCUGUCCUGAUUUUGCCAAGUUGAAAAACCUCAGAUGCCCCAUCUGAUUUAUGCUACAUGUUUUUCAAUAGAAAUGACAGUUUGUCAUACAGUCACACUCUGAAAUUGUGUUUAUGUGCACUUUAAAAGUUUGGUUUUAGUCUUUGUAAAACUUAAAACCAUAGUUUAAAAACAGUCUAAUUGCUUCAUUUUUUGCAAAGUUGAAAAAACCUGAGGCACAUAAAUUUAUACCACAGACUAUUUUUUAAUUAAAAUGACAGAAAAUUAGUUUGUCAUACACUCACACUCUCAGACUAAAUGUGUUUAUGCACAUCACAAGUUUGAUUUCAGUCAGACUAAAUCUUAAAAAAAAAAAAAAAAAAAAAAAAGUUUUUUUUUUGCAUAGUUGAAAAAAAAAACCUGGAAUACCUCAUCCGAUUUAGGCCACACAUUAUUUUUCACUAGAAAGAACGGAAAAUUAAUUUGUAAACUCCAGAAAUCUUAACCAGUUCAUUUAUCCGACAUUUUGGCAUAUAAAACCAACAAUAAAGGUCAUACAAGGUUCUGACCUUCUUCUAAA
ensembl:lncRNA